rnacentral:tRNA from 1 species
UAAAAGAUAAGCUAAAUAAGCUAUUGGGUUCAUACCUCAUUUAUAAAGGUUUUAAUCCUUUUCUUUUAA